AUUUUCUCCUCUGUGUAACUCGGUGUGAAAGUCCGGGGGAUGGAGAUCCGUAUCCGAUUUGUGGCAGGGCCCACAAGGAGAGAGGAGUACCCCAUGCAGGCGAAUCGCCUCGUUUUGUCUGCAGAGCCAAGAGAGGCUGAAGUUGGCUGCAGGACAGUUUUCAGCGUCCGAGGAUGGGGUGGCCGGUCAGGCAGACCUGCCCCGCAGGAUGUUCCCGGGAGCAAGCAGUGAGCCCGCCCGCCCCCACGCUCCCUGCCCGGGCGCCCAGCGUGGAGGCUCCCCUGGUCUCCCCACACGGCCGGGGCCUCGCCCCAGCCCCAGCGCAGCCCCUCACCAGCUCCCAGAAACCGGUGAGAAGCAGCCCAUAGCUUGUUACCUGUUUAUCCGAAGGACAGAUCGGUGCUCAAGAAAGGUGGCGACACGGAGGCCCAGAGUGAGGAAGUCAUGUAUUCAAGGUGGCAGAGCUGGGAUUUGUAUAUCAUCUCUGUACCUGAGCCCCUAACCUGCAAGUCAUAAUAGGCAACGGAUCAAUGUUAUGAUGCAGUGGAGGCCCUUACCAGAAGCCAACCAGAUGCCAGCACCAUGCUCUUGGAUUUCCCAGUCUCCAGAAUGGUGCAGGUGGAGACGGAACCCUAGACACUGCUCAUCCCAAUCAGGCCCUUUCCAGGCCUGUCCCAUUCCAAUCGGGCAUCAGAUGUGGCAUUGAUCAUCAUCUACUUAACAAACGAGGCUCCCCUUUCAAUGCACUUGGGUCUCCUCUGGGCCAACCUUGGUUCUGAGAUAGCAGGUGCUGAAAUACUGCUGAAUCCUCAAAGCCAGACUAGCCAGUGCCUGGCACCUGAUGGGAAUAUGAUUUCAACGAACAGAAAUGAAGAGACCACCCAGAAAUACAGACCCAGCCUUUCAUUCUCUUAUAUUCCUUAUGUCCAACAUUUAUUGGGCCCUUACCAUGUGCUCCAUAUGGUGCUGGGUCCUGGGAGUUGGAGUUACAAACAACUAAGAUGACAGACUUUGCUCCAAGUAGGGAUUCUUGGCUCUCAGCCCCAUGGAGAAAGUCUCCUUAUCACCUUUCUGCACAGGGGAGGAAAUCGAGAUCAAAAAAGUUAAGAGACUGAGUUAAG
rnacentral:lncRNA from 1 species